rnacentral:tRNA from 1 species
GACUCUGUGCGCAACGUAGCGCGUCUGACUCCAGAUCAGAAGGCUGCAUGUCAAAUCACGUCAGGGUCA